CAUAUACUCCCUCCGUCCGAAAAAGCUUGUCCCUCAAAUGGAUGUAUCUAGCACUAACUUGGUGCUAGAUACAUCUAUUUGAGAGACAAGCUUUUUAGGACGGAGGGAGUAUUUC
rnacentral:pre_miRNA from 1 species